rnacentral:rRNA from 1 species
CAGUAGCCGCGGUAAAACGUAUGUCACAAGCGUUAUCCGGAUUUAUUGGGCGUAAAGCGCGUCUAGGUGGUUAUGUAAGUCUGAUGUGAAAAUGCAGGGCUCAACUCUGUAUUGCGUUGGAAACUGUGUGACUAGAGUACUGGAGAGGUAAGCGGAACUACAAGUGUAGAGGUGAAAUUCGUAGAUAUUUGCAGGAAUGCCGAUGGGGAAGCCAGCUUACUGGACAGAUACUGACGCUAAAGCGCGAAAGCGUGGGUAGCAAACAGGAUUAGAUACCCCAGUAGUCCCUGUCUCUUAUACC